UACGAAGGGGGCUAGCGUUGCUCGGAAUUACUGGGCGUAAAGCGCGCGUAGGCGGCUUUCUAAGUCGGGGGUGAAAUCCUGGAGCUCAACUCCAGAACUGCCUUCGAUACUGGAGAGCUCGAGUCCGGGAGAGGUGAGUGGAACUGCGAGUGUAGAGGUGAAAUUCGUAGAUAUUCGACAAGAACACCAGGUGGCGAAGGCGGCUCACUGGCCCGGUACUGAUGCUGAGGUGCGAAAGCGUGGGGAGCAAACAGG
rnacentral:rRNA from 1 species